rnacentral:rRNA from 1 species
AGGUGCUGCAUGGCUGUCGUCAGCUCGUGCCGUGAGGUGUUGGGUUAAGUCCCGCAACGAGCGCAACCCUUAUCAUUAGUUGCCAACAUUUCGGAUGGGAACUCUAAUGAGACUGCCUGGGUUAACCAGGAGGAAGGUGAGGAUGACGUCAAGUCCGCAUGGCCCUUAUGUCUGGGGCUACACACGUGCUACAAUGGUCGGUACAGAAGGCAGCGAAACCGUGAGGCGGAGCAAAUCCCUAAAACCGGCCCCAGUUCAGAUUGUAGUCUGCAACU